GAAAGAAGUAUCCAUCUUUCUGUCUAAGCUGA
rnacentral:sRNA from 1 species